rnacentral:rRNA from 1 species
UACAUGCUUGUCGAACGAAGCACUUGUGCUUAUUGGCAUUAUGCGCUGAGUGACACGUACUUAAUCUACCCCCAAGUUUGGGAUAACAGUUGGAAACAAUUGCUGAUACCACUUAAAUAUAAGUUUUGCAUAAUUCUUAUAUAAAAGGAGCGUUUGUUUCGCUAGGGGAUGAGAGUGCGCUACAUUAUAUAGUUGGUAGGGUAAGAGCCUACCAAGACUAUGAUGUAUAGCGGGGCUGAGAAGCUGAACCGCCACACUGGGACUGAGAUACGGCCCAAACUCCUACGGGAGGCGGCAGUAGGGAAUAUUCCACAAUGAGCGAAAGCUUGAUGGAGCAACACAGCGUGCAGGAAGACGACCUUAGGGUUGUAAACUGCUGUUAUGAGGGAAGAAAAAUAAAAUUAGGAAAUGAAUUUUACAUGACGGUACCUCAUCAGAAAGCACCGGCAAACUAUGUGCCAGCAGCCGCGGUAAUACAUAGGGUGCAAGCGUUAUCCGGAAUUAUUGGGCGUAAAGUGUCUGUAGGUGGUAUGUUAAGUCUAGUGUUAAAGACUAGGGCCCAACCCUAGCACGCUCUAGAUACUGACAUGCUAGAGUCAUAGAGAGGUUAGCGGAUCUCCUAGUGAAGCGGUGAAAUGUGUAGAUAUUACGAAGAACACCAAUAGCGAAGGCAGCUAACUGGAUAUGUACUGACACUCAAAGACGAAAGCGUGCGUAG